rnacentral:rRNA from 1 species
CGCCUCUUGCCAAACCCAAGGUAUAAGAGGUCCCGCCUGCCCUGUGACUAUACGUUUAACGGCCGCGGUAUUUUGACCGUGCGAAGGUAGCGCAAUCACUUGUCUUUUAAAUGGAGACCUGUAUGAAUGGCAUAACGAGGGCUUGACUGUCUCCUCUUUCAAGUCAAUGAAAUUGAUCUCCCCGUGCAGAAGCGGGGAUAAAUACAUAAGACGAGAAGACCCUAUGGAGCUUUAGACACUAAAGCAGAUCAUUAAUUAUUUUUCUAAUCAAUAGAAUACAAGCCAAAUGAAGCCUGCCCUAAUGUCUUUGGUUGGGGCGACCGCGGAGAAACAAAAAACCCCCGCAUGGACUAAAUGUAUAACAUUUACAAUCAAGAGCUACAGCUCUAACUAACAGAAUUUCUGACCAAUAAGAUCCGGCGAACGCCGAUCAAUGGACCGAGUUACCCUAGGGAUAACAGCGCAAUCCCCUCCUAGAGCCCAUAUCGACGAGGGGGUUUACGACCUCGAUGUUGGAUCAGGGCAUCCUAAUGGUGCAGCCGCUAUUAAGGGUUCGUUUGUUCAACGAUUAAAGUCCU